CCUCAGCCACAUCCUCGUUCGUCUCCCUAAUCUCAAAAGUUAAAACGGGAAAGAAGAUAGAGCUAGACCAUCACAUAGUAGCCUCCAAACUUGUUGUCAGAUAUCAAACUGUAUAGCAAUAUAUGCUCUGAAAUCUUAUUAUCAAAGGCAAGGUCCACCCGCGGUGUCAUGUUCUCAUCUCCCAAAUCACACCAAGGAUUAAAAACAUCUAAAAUGCUAACUGGCUAGUUAAAGAAACAUAUAUAGUAACCAUAUUUAAAAUUUGUACGAUCAAACUUUUGAAAAUGUUAUAUUUUUUGGGUUUUUUAACCUGUAUCCAUCCAUUUUGAGAUGCAUAUAUACUUUUGAGAUACUAUUUAGCAUAACCCUAAAAUUGUUUAUCCAUCCAUCUCAAAAUGAAUAUCAUAUAGUGCACCAUUUCACACAUAUUAAAAAUACAUUUUUCUAAGGACAUAUUAAGAAAAGAUGUUAAAUGAAAAAAACGAUGAUUUUAUUCAAUUGCUCAUAUUAUCUAUUAUCAUAUAUGAAUAUAAAGUGAAAAAUAAUAACAUAAGAGUGAUG
rnacentral:lncRNA from 1 species